CAGAUCUCUAUAAAUUGACAUCUUUUCUUCUAUCUAGCACGCAAAAGUUCAUAGUACAACACAUCUCUCUAACAAAACAUGAGGACUUCAGCAAUCCUAUUUAUCUCCAUUGCCCUCAUGCUGAUGAUUUCUUCAGAUGUGGCAAUCGCCAAGUAUUGCGGUCCUAGAGUCUACGAGGGCCAGUGUGAUGAAAUCUCUUGUCGUGACUGGUGCAAGAUAGUGAUGGCCCACAACAGCAAAUGUGUUCCCAAAGGAUGCCAGUGCGAAGCAUGCUGGGCAAGACCGCCGAGCUCGUCAUCGAACUCACCGCUGAGUUAGACCACAUGGACGUAAAACUUUAUUUCAUGGUUUAUGUUUGUGGAAUGAAAUUUGACUUUAUGGUUGGUCGAGUAAUAACAGUGAUGGCAAGCCUCAAGUAUACAAUAAUACUAUGAAACCAUUUUAA